UAUCAAGCACUAAAAAGCAAAGACAAGCCCUUAUACCUUCUGCAUAAUGUAUUAACUAGAAAUAACUAUACACAGAGAACUUUAGCCAAGUCCCCCAAAACCAGACGAACUACCCAAGAACAGCUGAAAGAACACAUUCACCUAUGUGGCAAAAUAGUGGGAAGAUUCAUGAGUAGCGGUGACAAGCCUACCAAGCCUGUUGAUAGCUGGUUGUCCAAGAUAGAAUCUUAGUUCAGCUUUAAACUUACCGACAGAAGUACUUAAUCUCCCUGUCAGUUUAACUGUUAGUCUAAAGAGGGACAGCCCUUUAGACCCUUGGAAACAACCUUCCUACAGAGAGUAAAAAAUAUUACCACCAUAGUUGGCCCAAAAAGAGCCACCAAUUAAGAAAGCGUUUAAGCUCAACAUCUAACUAUCUUAAAUUCCAAUCACUCUACUGAACUCCUAACGUCACACUGGACUAAUCUAUUAAUAGAAGCAAUAAUGUUAAUAUAGGUAACAUGAAGACAUUCCCUAUUGCAUAAGCUUACAUCAGACCAGAAUAACCCACUGACAGUUAACAGCCUAAUAUUAAUAACCGAUAUAAUAAGCACCCUAUUAUUUACACUGUUAACCCAACACAGGUAUGCUCUAAGGAGAGAUUACAAAAAGUAAAAAGGAACUCGGCAAAUCUUACCCGCUUGUUUACCAAAAACAUCACCUCUAGCAUUACCAGUAUUAGAAUCACUGCCUGCCCAGUGACAUAUGUUCAACAGCCACGGUAUCCUGACCGUGCAAAGAUAGCAUAAUCACUUGUUCCUUAAAUAGGGACUUGUAUGAAUGGUCAUACGAAGGUUCAGCUGUCUCUUACUUUUAAUCAGUGAAAUUGACCUAUUCGUGAAGAGGCGGAUAUAAACAAAUAAGACGAGAAAACCCUAUGGAGCUUUAAUUUAUUAAUGCAAAUAAAAACUCAAACAAGCCUACAAGCCCUAGCCUACUAUCCCUGCAUUAAAAAUUUUGGUAGGGGUGAACUUGGAGCAUAAUUCAACCUCCAAACAACCUAAACUAAGACCGCACUAGUCUUAGUGAGUUAAUACACAUUGACCCAAUAAUUUGAUCAAUGGAAUAAAUUACCUUAGGGAUAACAGCGCAAUCCCAUUCUAGAAUCCAUAUUGACAACAGAGUUUACAACUUCGAUGUUGGAUCAGGACAUCCUAACGGUGUAGCUGCUAUUAAGGGUUCGUUUAGCAGUAGGGACAGGGUUCUAAAACUAAGUGAGUAACAUCCUACCUGCUAUAUACCUCUUUAAUACGUUGGUAUAUCCUCCCAACUGUAUCUCUAGCUCCUUGUAGGAAGCAGGUUUGAUAUA
rnacentral:rRNA from 1 species